AUGAAUGGGUACAUGUCACUCCAGGAAAUAGGUUUCCCUAUUGUACUAGCUUGGGGACUGACGGACAGCAGGUAUCUUAACAAGUUUUCUGUCCUGAAAACAUGUGAGCUUUCUCUGUUUCUAAUUCAAUUUUUUUUUUUCCAGGGCGCAUGUGAGAGUGGAGCUGGAGAGAGAGCAGUCCCUAGAAAAAGAGUGGGGAUAGAAAGACUGCAUCUACUGAUUGCUUGGUACCUAAACAGCCAUGCAUACCGGUUGUCACAUGUCAUCUCUGGAAGAUCUGGGGUGGCCAGGUAUGUCCUGGUUCAGGACGCUCAUGCAGACCCAGGACAGCUUGGAAACCUGUUGCUGGGAAUCCUUCACUGGCCAAGGGAUAGGCCUCGUAUACAACAGUAGCAGUGAGGAACGAGGAAGACAGGCUUUCUUCACCCCUUCUGUUGUGAACCAGGGUUGGGUUUGGCUCAUGUGCCCUCGAGGCUGGGCCCAUGGUGGGGCAGGGCCCAUGGCCAGGCAGGGCAGAGCCAUGGGGAGCUGGAGCCUGGGUCUGCAGUGGCCUCACUGGAGAAGGGGCUGAUGUGGGGACCCGGGCCUGGGCAGGUGGGGGAGCCCCAGAGGGCUGCCAAAGGGCAGUCAGGGCUGGGGGUGCCUUCAGGACCCUGAGAACAUGGUGCAGCUAUCGAGGGGAGGAUCAGUGUGAAGGCUGUGGCUGUGAAGUGGAAACAUUCAUGCUCGAUACUACAGAAUGGAGGAAACCAGGAACAUGUGUGUUGUCCUUCCUUUUGAGGCACGAAGUGCUUGUGUUUACCAGAAGCACUGUGUUUACAUAGGGCUUGCAAAAGAUUCAGGUAGCUUUUCGUUUCUGCCAGCCACACCCCACGUCUUUACAUAGUGGCACUAACUUUAUCCAGUUCACGGGUGAAAGAACAUUCAUCAGCCUCAGAAGAGAAGCACUCAGGCUGUGGGACAGCCUCAUGCAUCACACAAGUAAGGAGCUUCCACAGGAGACACCUCACCCUUUGAAGGCAACAGAACAGGUUCUGUGCCCUGUGCUGAGCAAGGCAGUUGCUGGGAUAACAUUUUCAGAAUUUCAAAAUUCUGGCACUGAGGUGACAGAUCCCCUUUGACUGUGGCUGGAGAAGGAAUUAAAAUCAUUACAGUUUGAGGUCAUUAAAAGUCAUUUAUACUCUUGAAAAUGCAAUGCUGACUCCACAAUUACCUGGCCAGCACACAGGGAUGAGGGAGGCCAUGGAUGGGCUAGCAGAUUUCUUCUUCCUCGACACCCAACUCAGAGGCUGGUAAACAGAUUUAGCACCUCUGCCUCAGACACUACUCAGACAUAGUGUAGGAUGGAAAGUUAGGAUCACUGGACCCAGAGAACAGCCACUCAUAAAACCAG
rnacentral:lncRNA from 1 species